CUGAGUGAAUUAAACAAUUUUACACCUUGGUAGUUAACAGAAAAUUGUCUAAUAUUUGUUCUACAUAAUGGAAUGGAAUAUAAAUUCAAAUUCCGCGUAUUAUACGCAUGAAUUUCACUAACUCGAUGAAAAAAAGUAUUAAAAUUGAGUGGUAACCUUUGUUUAUGAUACAGGAACAUAAAUUUACCUAAGUGAAACAAAUACACUUGAUGGAAAGUCAGCAACUCAAGUUCUUUGAAAAUAGGCUCUGUAUGAGCGUCAUAUACCUCGUGGUUUAUUAUUCUAAUAACACGCUUUUGCAACAACACAAUACGAUUUAAAUUUGACGGAUAAGUGGAGCCCCAGACUAGUAUACAAUAUUGCAUAUAUGGAUAAAUAAGAGAAUAGUAUAACAAAACUAACGACGAUUUAGAAACGUAAAAGCUUGCUUUUUUUAUAAUCCCAAUCGAUUUCGAAAUUUUCCUGGCUAUGUACGAUAUAUGGGAUUUCCACGUGAGAUGUUCAUCUAGGAUCACCCCGAG